GAUGAACGCUGGCGGCGUGCCUAAUACAUGCAAGUCGAGCGAACAGACGAGGAGCUUGCUCCUCUGACGUUAGCGGCGGACGGGUGAGUAACACGUGGAUAACCUACCUAUAAGACUGGGAUAACUUCGGGAAACCGGAGCUAAUACCGGAUAAUAUAUUGAACCGCAUGGUUCAAUAGUGAAAGACGGUUUUGCUGUCACUUCUAGCUGGAUCCGCGCCGCAUUAGCUAGUUGGUAAGGUAACGGCUUACCAAGGCAACGAUGCGUAGCCGACCUGAGAGGGUGAUCGGCCACACUGGAGCUGAGACACGGUCCAGACUCCUACGGGAGGCAGCAGUAGGGAAUCUUCCGCAAUGGGCGAAAGCUUGACGGAGCAACGCCGCGUGAGUGAUGAAGGUCUUCGGAUCGUAAAACUCUGUUAUUAGGGAAGAACAAAUGUGUAGGUAACUAUGCACGUCUUGACGGUACCUAAUCAGAAAGCCACGGCUAACUACGUG
rnacentral:rRNA from 1 species